rnacentral:RNase_P_RNA from 1 species
GCAAGUUGAAGACAGCUACUGGUUUUUCGUAAACUAAGGAAACUCCGCACAUCAAACAAGACUAUGACGUUGAAAGACGUAUACUGAGAAGUAUGACUCUGGAGCAGAAACGACACGACUUUUAAUGGUGGACGAUGAUAUUUAAUUGAGGACAUUAAAAGAAUCGGUGAAACGGCCAUUCCAUAGGAUGCAAGAGCAAAAAAUGCCGAAGAUCAUUUGUUGUAGGCAAGGUAGUUCGCUAAGAUGAAUGCUGUAUUAACAGAAUGUGGGUUACUCUUAACAGGC